rnacentral:rRNA from 1 species
CUACGUGCCAGCAGCCGCGGUAAUACGGAGGGUGCGAGCGUUAAUCGGAAUAACUGGGCGUAAAGGGCACGCAGGCGGUGACUUAAGUGAGGUGUGAAAGCCCCGGGCUUAACCUGGGAAUUGCAUUUCAUACUGGGUCGCUAGAGUACUUUAGGGAGGGGUAGAAUUCCACGUGUAGCGGUGAAAUGCGUAGAGAUGUGGAGGAAUACCGAAGGCGAAGGCAGCCCCUUGGGAAUGUACUGACGCUCAUGUGCGAAAGCGUGGGGAGCAAACAGGAUUAGAUACCCUGGUAGUCCACGCUGUAAACGAUGUCGAUUUGGGGGUUGAGCUUUGAGCUUGGCGCCCGUAGCUAACGUGAUAAAUCGACCGCCUGGGGAGUACGGCCGCAAGGUUAAAACUCAAAUGAAUUGACGGGGGCCCGCACAAGCGGUGGAGCAUGUGGUUUAAUUCGAUGCAACGCGAAGAACCUUACCUACUCUUGACAUCCAGA